rnacentral:lncRNA from 1 species
UUUUGUUUGUUGAAUCUCGUUAAGAAUGUUUUAAUUUGUCUGGGUUUCAUAAGAACCCUUUCUUUUGUGAUGAAAAUGAUGCUGUGCAAGUGCUCUGGAAUUUUUUUCGAUAAAAUUCUUGAAUAGUUAAUGGAAUUAGCUCUUCCUCUUGUCACGCGACUUCUGAAUGAGACUGGCCAUGCCAUUGGGUUUUCAGUUGAAGAAGGCAGUUAUUGGAGAAAGGAGUCUGGAUGGAUUUGGAACCUUCGAGGAAGAGGAAGAGGAAGAGGAAGAGCAGGGUGGGAGUAAGGUGGAAUUUGGAUUUCUGCAUCGUCGUUUAGUAUAAAAUGUAAAGCCCCUUUUCGUAUGGGAGAAAUAUGAGAAUAAU